GGGGAUAUAGCUCAGUUGGUUUAGAGCACCUGCCUUACAAGCAGGGGGUCGUAGGUUCGAAUCCUACUAUCCCCA
rfam:Marivirga tractuosa DSM 4126, complete genome.